AUCACCCCCAGGGCUGUUCCCAGCCUCCCUGCAGGGUUCUGAAGGGUCUCUAAGGGUGGCCCUCAGCCUGUCCCCACACCGGUGAACCAAAAAGGGUGCAUCUGCACCCUGCGGCCGCAGCAUCUGUGUCCGGCUCCCAGGGAAUUAUCAGCCAAAGGGACGUUUUGGGGAUGAUGUAAUGCUGUAACUCGAGCUCCAGCUGAAAGGACAUGACUUGAUGCUGACAGCUACUCUCUGACCAGGUUCCCCAACACCCUCGCACAAUGAGCAGCCGUUGCACAGCCUUAAAAACAGGUGGGAUCGGUCCCUUCAGACAUGCAAGAAACUAUCCCGUUUUCCGGAGUAGUAUUUUCCACACAUGAAUGCGUUUCCAGGUGCUUCAGGGACUGGCCACCAGACAUUGCUGGAGAGAAGAAGUUAUGCACAGCUUCUCUAGACCCCAGACUAUGGUUGCCCAGAGAAGCCUGAUGAUCUUCUGGCUGGUACUGAUGGUGGAGCUGAGGCAACUGCACUGAUCUCUCUCUCUCCAUCAACAUACUGCCUUGUCUCGAGGAAGGAGGCCUUGGAUCAGCCUCGACUUUGCUCCCAGCUGUCUUUCCUGGUCCUCCUGUUAUGGGGACAGCUUCUGGGGGCAGAACUCUUGUUACAGAGCCAUAGAACCAUACUGGUUGGAAAAGACCCUUCAGAUCAUCAAGUGCAACCAUUCCAUGUUGUAGAAUGAGAGCUGACCUGAGCAUACCGGAAACUUAUGAUGAUGCCGAAGGAGGACAAAGUGAGAGGAAUCACCUUUCUACUGAUGGCAGAGGAAAUCUGG
rnacentral:lncRNA from 1 species